CCAUCGCUCUUCUCGUCAUUCUAGGGUUGCGUCGCCGCCUGUCCUACUAUUGGUUCUCGUUACCCCUUGGGUUUCCGUCCCAAUCUUUUGUGUCCGAUCUGAUGGUUGAGCCACUCUGUUCGCCGAUACACGGCCGAUCUGAUGUUUCGGCGACACCGAUCAUCGAUCAUGCCCGAUUUGAUUAUUUGGAGGUUUCCGUCUUCGAUACAUGGCCAUAUGAUGUUUCGGCGGCUUUGGUAGCCGAUCUAUGAUUUUGAAGUGGUAACUGGUAUAAAUUUUUGCAGCCGAUUGCAGGAUGCUGGGGUUCGUGCAGAGCUUCGGGGUUCGUGAAUGGAGCGGCAGCAGCUUAUGAUCGUGUAUCUCGUUCCAGCUGGAGUUCUUUCAUGCCCUAAUUGGACCUUGUUUUUUACGCGGCGCAUCGGGAGACGAAGAUAUAUGUUUCAGACGAGGUUGUUGGUGGACGGAUCCUCAUCAUGUCUCUCGUUUUAAGUACUUAGAACUAGAGAUGUUAAUAUGGGGUUCUUUCUGAUGUAGAGCAUCUGCAAAGCCGGAAAUCUCCAUCGAGGGUAAGGUAAAUUAGGGACAUGUUCAGUCCAUCUAUUCUUUUGUCACACCGACCUUUGCCAUGUUGGGUGCGCUCGCAUGGCAGGUCAAAGAAACAUAAUAAAAAAAGAAGUUUUUUGUGUUCUUGGGGAGAUCGCAUGGGGUGAUUUUAGAACCCCGGGUUCUCCCCACGGUGUGUAUUUUGUUCCCCUCCAUCUACUCCGCCCUUCAGAUUUCUUGCACGGUCUCCUCGGGACAAUUCCAUGACCUACCUGAUCAGUACCUUCUACAAUCAUGAUCCACCAAUAUUCGUGGCAAUUCGGAAGCAUAGUGAACAUACCGAGGCACAUCUACGGGAAUCGUCUGCAUCAUAUUAAGGUACUAUUUUCUUACACGAUGUGGUCACUCCGAAGCCAUCCUCUCUGCCAGUUGCAAGGUAUGAUUUACUUCGAGUUAGCGUUCGAACGACUUAUGCAAUAUCUAUAAUAAUCCUGGUUUACCCAUCUAUCAGUUAGCGUUCGAACGAGUUAGCGUUCGAACGACUUAUGAAAAUAAUGCCGUAUCUAUCAGUUAGUGAUUAUUGAUCUUUCACCAAGACUGUUUAGUCAAUAUCCAUAAUAAUCCUGGUUUACCCAGUGUUGUCUCCACCCGGUUUAUAGUACCGCUUUCGAUCUCGUUACAUUUAAGUAUUAAGCAUUUAUUUAUGCGUUCUUGUCUCGAAUACCAAGGUGUUAUGGAUCUUUGUGCAAUUGUUGUGGUAUAUUGUCCGCUAUGUCUUUGUAUUUCAAUUUAGAUGUUUUACUUGUUUGUUCAUGAUGUAACUUGUCAAGCAAAGGACCCUAUCUAGGCAAUGUCGUUAUGCCUCGGAACUGUGUGAUUGCUUGUUGUAUGUGAGAUAUUUUGUAUCUUUGUUCAUAAUGUUUCCUAGGAUUGAUUCGUCGUCGGCCUCUCGUGAUGGUCUUGAGAUUUGCGGAUUCAGCUGCUGUGAAGACUUGUGGCGGUAGAAGACUGCUGGUAUUCGCUUCGAUGAUUAGCUGCUUCAGUGUGUACCUUGGUCGCUCAGUUUAUCUUGAGCCUGGAACCUAUCUUCCGGAUUCUGCCUUCUCGUUCUGUGCUGCUGCAGUUCGCCACUUGCUUGAGAUUUCAACGGCUUGAGAUUUCGACGUGGCAGCUCGUACACUGCUGUAAAAUGGUUUGUUCAACUAAUUUAUUUCUUUCCUGCAUAUCAAGCUUCAUGUUAGCUAACAUUUGAUCGCAGAGUCAGUUGGGAGGUUGUACGCCUAAAUUUGUGUGCUCUUAAGAGAUUUAAUGGUAUGGCAUGUGGUGAUUAUGCAUUCUCGUCAUAUUCGUUUAUUCGCUCGCUAUUUGUCUAAUGUAGCCUUAUUUUCUGUAAAUGGUUGACGGUCAUUCAUUUUAUUGUCGUUAACAUCGGUUUUACUCUCAAUGUUUGCAUUUGCUGUAGCUUAAUUUAUUUUUCCUUUUUUUUUCGCCAGGUUGUAUCGACGGUGAAUCUGUGUUAAUUAAUUGCCAUUAACACUGUUAUGAAGAUGUGCUGUUGUAUAUCAACGGCAGUUGUGUUAAGUCUUUGUUUACUGGAGAAUAUUAACGUGGGCGUCUCCAUGUUAUAAGUCUCCUCCAAAGUAGUUCAAUGGCAUAUGGGAGUUAUUAUUGUGUGAGUUAUGGGAAUUUGAUCCAAUUUUAAAAGUGUUUGUUAUUGGAAUCAACAGAAAUUAUAUUCUUUUAAUUUUAUCGGCUUCUGUCAGAAAUUUUGUUAAAUAUUUUUAUUGCAUUUUAAGUUGUGACGUUGUACUCGUUUUGGUUGAUGUCAUAUAUUCUCUCUUUUUUAAACGUAACAAUUAUGUGAGUUGUCCAUUGUAACCUCGGCCUGUCUGGUAGAGUUAUUGAGGUUUAAACGAGAUAAAAAUUGAUAAGUCAUUAGGCGAUUUGUGGUUAAAUUGAUAAGUCAUUAGGCGAUUUGUAGUCUGUUGAAGUUUUGCAGUGACAUGUCCGUUUACUUCGCAUUUGUGAAUCGGGUACUAGUGGUUCUUAAACCGCCCCCUACGGUCCGAUGGCUGUUCUAUUCAACCCCGAAUCUUGUUUCUACCUUGGGGCCAAGGCUCGAACCGUUGGUUAGGUUGCAAGUGAAUCCUUUUUUUUUUUUUUUUUCUAGAUUUCUAGAGCCGGGUGAGUUUGUGUUUUAUUCAUUUUGUCGUUUGGAAACCACAUGAUGGUGGAGUGCUGCAUAUGGAUCUUUAAGCUCAAAAUGGCAGAGCGCUCAGUCGUUUGUGUUUCAAAUGGCUUGAGAGGGUGGUGGUUCGAAUCCAUCAAGAUCUACUUCAUUAGUGUACUUUUUGGUGCUGCCUGUACUUGUGUCAUGGUCGUUGGGCUGUCGAGGCUGUGUUGGAUGUUCAAAUCUGGGCCCUAUUUAUUGGAAAAUGUAGUUUUUAAUGGUGUAAAAAAUAUCAUCUGUAUACUUAAUAUAGUAAAAUUGUUUUCUUAUAAUUAUGAAAGAUGAUAAAAGUUGUUGGAACUCAAUUAGGAAACAUAGUAUUUUCUUUCAUUCCUGUAGGAAGACUUAAAUUACGAAGAAUUAUACAUUUUUAUGAUAAAUAUACAUCAAUUGAAUUUAUUUGUUUUUAGGGUUGAAUUGAUUAUUCGUUUUUAUGACUAUGCUUGAGACACUAGUGAGAAGGAAAUAAAUAAAAGAAUAUUAUAUUUUCGAUAAAAUUAAAGUUACAAAUGAGCAAAGUAAGCUAUCAGAUAAAAAUUAAAUGGAGUUCAAAAUUUAUUUACAUUAUGUAAAUUAAAUGUAUAGUUGACAUGUUGAUUACAAGCUGGAGAAAUGAAAAAUUAAAUUUGAUGGUGCCAAUGUGGAGAAAUAAAAAAAUUAAAUAGGAGGAGGAGGUGAUCGUGAAGGAGCUUUCUAUUGUGACAAGCGGCGGCCAACGACAAUUGAUGGGUGAGCAACGAGUGGCAUCGAGCGACGUCUUUCCCUUCAACGAGCAGUGUCGUCGUGAACGGUCACAAACUAUGGCAUAGAGCGACAAUGAACGAUGGAAAAUUUUAAUAUUUCAAAGAUAUUCCAAGGUAAA